CCUACGGGAGGCAGCAGUAGGGAAUCUUCCACAAUGGACGAAAGUCUGAUGGAGCAACGCCGCGUGAGCGAUGAAGGCCUUCGGGUCGUAAAGCUCUGUUGUUAGGGAAGAACAAGUACCGGAGUAACUGCCGGUACCUUGACGGUACCUAACCAGAAAGCCACGGCUAACUACGUGCCAGCAGCCGCGGUAAUACGUAGGUGGCAAGCGUUGUCCGGAAUUAUUGGGCGUAAAGCGCGCGCAGGCGGUCCUUUAAGUCUGAUGUGAAAGCCCCCGGCUCAACCGGGGAGGGUCAUUGGAAACUGGGGAACUUGAGUGCAGAAGAGGAGAGCGGAAUUCCACGUGUAGCGGUGAAAUGCGUAGAGAUGUGGAGGAACACCAGUGGCGAAGGCGGCUCUCUGGUCUGUAACUGACGCUGAGGCGCGAAAGCGUGGGGAGCGAACAGGAUUAGAUACCCUGGUAGUUCACGCCGUAAACGAUGAGUGCUAAGUGUUAGAGGGUUUCCGCCCUUUAGUGCUGCAGCAAACGCAUUAAGCACUCCGCCUGGGGAGUACGGCCGCAAGGCUGAAACUCAAAGGAAUUGACGG
rnacentral:rRNA from 1 species